rnacentral:rRNA from 1 species
CCAGACUCCUACGGGAGGCAGCAGUGGGGAAUAUUGCACAAUGGGGGAAACCCUGAUGCAGCGACGCCGCGUGAGUGAGGAAGUAUUUCGGUAUGUAAAGCUCUAUCAGCAGGGAAGAAAAUGACGGUACCUGACUAAGAAGCCCCGGCUAACUACGUGCCAGCAGCCGCGGUAAUACGUAGGGGGCGAGCGUUAUCCGGAUUUAUUGGGUUUAAAGGGUGCGUAGGCGGGAUGCCAAGUCAGCGGUCAAAUCCGGGGGCCCACCCUGCGUCCGCCGUUGAAACUGGCGUUCUUGAGUGGGCGAGAAGUACGCGGAACGCGUGGUGUAGCGGUGAAAUGCAUAGAUAUCACGCAGAACCCCGAUUGCGAAGGCAGCGUACCGGCGCCCAACUGACGCUGAAGCACGAAAGCGUGGGUAUCGAACAGGAUUAGAUACCCCUGUA